rnacentral:rRNA from 1 species
GACGAACGCUGGCGGCGUGCUUAACACAUGCAAGUCGAACGGAAAGGCCCUGCUUUUGUGGAGUGCUCGAGUGGCGAACGGGUGAGUAACACGUGAGUAACCUGCCCUUGACCUUGGGAUAACUUCAGGAAACUGGGGCUAAUACCGGAUAGGAGCUCCUGCUGCAUGGUGGGGGUUGGAAAGUUUCGGCGGUUGGGGAUGGACUCGCGGCUUAUCAGCUUGUUGGUGGGGUAGUGGCUUACCAAGGCUUUGACGGGUAGCCGGCCUGAGAGGGUGACCGGCCACAUUGGGACUGAGAUACGGCCCAGACUCCUACGGGAGGCAGCAGUGGGGAAUAUUGCACAAUGGGCGGAAGCCUGAUGCAGCAACGCCGCGUGCGGGAUGACGGCCUUCGGGUUGUAAACCGCUUUCGCCUGUGACGAAGCGUGAGUGACGGUAAUGGGUAAAGAAGCACCGGCUAACUACGUG